rnacentral:misc_RNA from 1 species
GAAAUGCGAUAAGUAAUGUGAAUUGCAGAAUUCAGUGAAUCAUCGAAUCUUUGAACGCACAUUGCGCCCUGUGGUAUUCCGCAGGGCAUGCCUGUUCGAGCGUCAUUUAACCACUCACGCUUAGCGUGGUAUUGGAGCACGCGGUCUCGCGGCCCUCAAAAUUAGUGGCGGCGCCGGUGGGCUCUAAGCGUAGUACAUACUCCCGCUAUAGAGUUUCUCCGGUGGCUCGCCAGAACCCCCAAUUUUUUACAGGUUGACCUCGGAUCAGGUAGGGAUACCCGCUGAACUUAA